CGGGGUGUAGCUUAGCCUGGUAGAGCGCUUGCUUUGGGAGCAAGAGGUCGUCGGUUCGAAUCCGUCCACCCCGACCA
rnacentral:tRNA from 1 species